CCUACGGGUGGCAGCAGUGAGGAAUAUUGGUCAAUGGGCGGGAGCCUGAACCAGCCAAGUCGCGUGAGGGAAGACGGUCCUAUGGAUUGUAAACCUCUUUAGGCGGGGAGCAAUGCCGGGCACGCGUGCCCGGAGGGAGAGUACCCGCAGAAUAAGCAUCGGCGAACUCCGUGCCAGCAGCCGCGGUAAUACGGCGGAUCCGAGCGUUAUCCGGAUUGUUUGGGUUUAAAGGGGGCGUAGGCGGACUUUUAAGUCAGCGGUGAAAGUCUGGGGCUCAACCUUAGAAUUGCAGUUGAAACUGGGGGGCUUGAGUAUGUUUGAGGCAGGCGGAAUUCGUGGUGUAGCGGUGAAAUGCUUAGAUAUCACGCAGAACCCCGAUUGCGAAGGCAGCCUGCCAGGCCAUGACUGACGCUGAUGCACGAAAGCGUGGGGAUCAAACAGGAUUAGAUACCCUGGUAGUC
rnacentral:rRNA from 1 species